rnacentral:rRNA from 1 species
AUGAACGCUGGCGGCGUGCCUCAUACAUGCAAGUCGCGCGAACAGACGAGGAGCUUGCUCCUCUGACGUUAGCGGCGGACGGGUGAGUAACACGUGGAUAACCUACCUAUAAGACUGGGAUAACUUCGGGAAACCGGAGCUAAUACCGGAUAAUAUAUUGAACCGCAUGGUUCAAUAGUGAAAGACGGUUUUGCUGUCACUUAUAGAUGGAUCCGCGCCGCAUUAGCUAGUUGGUAAGGUAACGGCUUACCAAGGCAACGAUGCGUAGCCGACCUGAGAGGGUGAUCGGCCACACUGGAACUGAGACACGGUCCAGACUCCUACGGGAGGCAGCAGUAGGGAAUCUUCCGCAAUGGGCGAAAGCCUGACGGAGCAACGCCGCGUGAGUGAUGAAGGUCUUCGGAUCGUAAAACUCUGUUAUUAAGGAAGAACAAAUGUGUAAGUAACUAUGCACGUCUUGACGGUACCUAAUCAGAAAGCCACGGCUAACUACGUG